UGCAGUCGACGGCAGCACGGACUUCGGUCUGGUGGCGAGUGGCGAACGGGUGAGUAAUGUAUCGGAACGUGCCUAGUAGCGGGGGAUAACUACGCGAAAGCGUAGCUAAUACCGCAUACGCCCUACGGGGGAAAGCAGGGGAUCGCAAGACCUUGCACUAUUAGAGCGGCCGAUAUCGGAUUAGCUAGUUGGUGGGGUAACGGCUCACCAAGGCGACGAUCCGUAGCUGGUUUGAGAGGACGACCAGCCACACUGGGACUGAGACACGGCCCAGACUCCUACGGGAGGCAGCAGUGGGGAAUUUUGGACAAUGGGGGAAACCCUGAUCCAGCCAUCCCGCGUGUGCGAUGAAGGCCUUCGGGUUGUAAAGCACUUUUGGCAGGAAAGAAACGUCAUGGGCUAAUACCCCGUGAAACUGACGGUACCUGCAGAAUAAGCACCGGCUAACUACGUGCCAGCAGCCGCGGUAAUACGUAGGGUG
rnacentral:rRNA from 1 species